rnacentral:rRNA from 1 species
AACGAACGCUGGCGGCAUGCCUAACACAUGCAAGUCGAACGGGACGGUCGGGUCUAGUGGCGCACGGGGGCGUGCCGCGGGGGAACCUGCCCUUAGGUUCGGAGUAACUCCCCGAAAGGGGUGCUAAUACCGGUUAAUGUCUUCGGACCAAAGAUCUAUCGCCUUUGGAUGGGCGCGCGUUGGUUUAGCUAGUUGGUAGGGUAAAAGCCUGCCAUGGCGACGAUCCAUAACUGGUCUGAGAGGAUGAUCAGCCCGACUGGGACUGCGACACGGCCCAGACUCCGACGCGAGGCAGCAGUGGAGAAUAUUGUACACUGGGCGAAAGUCUGAUCCAGCCAUGCCGCGUGAGUGAUGAAGGCCUUAGGGUUGUAAAGCUCUUUUACCCGGGAUGAUAAUGACAGUACCGGGAGAAUAAGCUCCGGCUAACUCCGUG